rnacentral:tRNA from 1 species
GCGGAUGUACCCAAGUGGAUCAAGGCAGUGGAUUUG